GAAGUCGGAAUUGCUAGUAAUCGCGGAUCAGCAUGCCGCGGUGAAUACGUUCCCGGGCCUUGUACACACCGCCCGUCACACCAUGGGAGUCGGUAACACCCGAAGCCUGUAGUCUAACCGCAAGGAGGACGCAGUCGAAGGUGGGAUUGAUGACUGGGGUGAAGUCGUAACAAGGUAAC
rnacentral:rRNA from 1 species